GAAGCACGCCAGACUGCCGCUGGUGCAAGGGUGGAAACACCGCACUGGAGGAAGGUCCGGACUGCAUAGGGCAGCGUAGCAGCUAACAGCUGUCCACCGUGAGGUGAGGAUCAGAGCUACAGAGACGAGCCGGUUAAGUCCGGGUGAAACGAGCAAUCUCUACGCGCAGCAAUACCAAGUAGGCACACGUUGACGGGGCCCCCGGAGUGUGCGGGUAGGUAGCAUCGAGCCGUCUGGUGACAGGCGGCCCAGAGUAAUGGCGGUCACGCCGGGGGAAACCCCGGCGCACAGAAUCCGGCUUACAGGUGGGCUUCACAC
rnacentral:RNase_P_RNA from 1 species